AACAAAAAGUAUGAUAAACUCAAAAUUGCAACAAGAAAAAAGAACGUGUUUGACAAAUCUAACAUCCAUUUCUGAGAAAAACUGCAAAGCACGAAUGGAAGGGAACUUCCUCAACCCGAUAAAGGGCAUCUGGGAAGUAACCACAGCGAGCAUCAUACUUAACAGCACAAGACUGAAUGUUUUCCCCAGGUUAGGAAAAGGGCAAAGAUCUCCACCAUCACCAUGUCUGUCUGACAUCACACCGGAGUCUCUAUGCAAUACGACGAGCAGGAGAAAAGAAUUCAUAAGGAGACAAAAGCGCAGACAGUAUGAUCUAUGUAGAAAAUCCUACGGAACCUGGAAAGAAGCUAACAAGUGACUUCGGCAAGGUCACAGAAAGAACAGCACACACAUACCGCUGUCUUCCCAUACACCGGCAGUGGACGUGUAUAUGCUGCCGUUAAAAUACGAUACGUUUACCACCACUCAAAAUACGCCGAGGUCUGAACUUAACAAAACGUGCAUCUGACACGUAUGUCGGGUAUCAUACUGAACAUCUUCCCUGAAAAUCCUCGGUGCUCCGCCUGUCCCUCCCCUCCCCGCCCCUCAGGAAGCCACUGACUUCUCCGUUUCCAUGAUUUUGCUUUUCUCGGAACGUCAUACGGUUGGAAUCACACAGUGUGUGUAGCCUUUUCUGACUGGCUUCUUUCUCUUGGUAAUAUGCGAUUAAGCUUCCCGCAUGUGUCCCCAGGGCCUUGGGAGCUCAUUUCUUUUUAGCCCUGAAUCAUAUUCUGCUGUCUGGGUGGUCCACACCCACCGAGGGCAUCUGGGCUGCUUCGAGUCUGGGCGAUUGUGAAUAAAGCUGCCAUAAACAUCCGUGUGCGGGUUCUUGUGUGGACGGAAGUUUUCUACUUCUUUGGGUAACUGCCAAGGACAUGACUGUGGAUCCUGCGGGUCCUCUGUGCCCGGGAUGACCCACGCAAGAAGAGAUCAUGAAGAAGCGAGUUGCGCCCACGGCACUCGCAGUCAGGAAGCUGUUUGCCGAGCAAACAGAGCUGUUUGCGCUGUUCGCUCCUCAAGGUGGACGAGGACUGAGGGAAUCUGAUAAACCUUUGUUACAGAGGGAGUACGUGGACAGGGGCGGGGCAGAGAGAGAAUCCCAAGCAGGCUCCACGCUGCCAGCCUAGAGCCCCACGCAAGGCUGGAUCUC